rnacentral:rRNA from 1 species
UACGGGGGGGGCAAGCGUUGUUCGGAAUUACUGGGCGUAAAGGGCUCGUAGGCGGCUUGGCAAGUCGGGUGUGAAACCUCCAGGCUCAACCUGGAGACGCCACCCGAUACUGCCAUGGCUAGAGUCCGGUAGGGGACCACGGAAUUCCUGGUGUAGCGGUGAAAUGCGCAGAUAUCAGGAGGAACACCGGUGGCGAAGGCGGUGGUCUGGGCCGGCACUGACGCUGAGGAGCGAAAGCGUGGGGAGCGAACAGG